rnacentral:lncRNA from 1 species
AACCGGCCUAUAAAAAUAUAUUAGCCCCUCACGGACUCAUGUCACCAUAAAAAAGCGUCACUAUGUGAUAUUAUAACCGAAUAAAGUAUACACAAUCAAUGAUAAAAAUAUAUGCACACAUAAAUACGGGUUCAUUAGCGGAUAACACGUAAUCACACCGCAAAAGACCCACCAAAUAAUCACAUUAUAAAUAAACAUAAAACACACUCCACCUUCUCCCCCACAGGCCAAACUAAAUACUCCAUCAAUUUGUAAGUAUAAAGACUAUUAUUUUUUAAAAAGUCAAAUUUCUAUACUUUUGACCAAGUUGAGAGCCAAAAAUAUUGACUUCCACAAUAUUAAACAAAAAAAAUAAAAAUUCAUUUCCUUAUGAAUCUAAUAACACUGAAUGGAUAUUAUAAAUUUUGAUAUUUUUCUUUAUAAAUUUAAUCAAAUUUAAAGAGGUUUGACUUUCUAAAAAAGUAAUACACCAUAUAUUUUGAAGUAGAAUGAUUAAGGAAAUUUGAAAAUCCCAACAAAUUGAACGACGUAGCAAAGCGCGCUCAACCCUUCUAGUAUUCAACAUCCUUUAUUUAUUACUUAGAUGUGAGCUUUAUGUAGGCCGUGGAAUCAUUUUGUUAAUAUUACGUUGGCAGAGUCUUGAACUCAAGACCUCCUGACUUGGAUAUCACGUAGGACAGCAUGUAUCAAACAGUUCACCAAAAAGGUCAAACUGAUAAGAAAAGAUGGACAAUACAUUUAUACGUCAACAGCGACCUCGGAGGCUUGACGGGUCCCAUUCUAAAAAAUUCAUACCAAACAUGCCACAUAGUUGUAUAGAAUAGAUGCUUAAAAAGCAGAUUCGCUUUUCUGGAAUAAACGAUGAUAGAUUCUGU